UAUAGGAAGAUAGUUUAACACAAACAAACUGGGGCACUUGUAUUGGGGAAGCCAUCAAAAAGCCACCUUGAUCUCUUCAGGAGUGAGAACACUAAAAAGGGAACUCCCAACCAUCACACAGUACAGGGGCAGCCUGAAGCAUUUUGGCACCUGAGGCAAAAAUCCCUGCUGCCACCCCCUACGGUGGGUGGACAAACUCCCCACCACACUGCCAGAAAGCUGCUCAAUUUUCGAGUAUGGAAUAAUGAAGGAACAAGCCACUGGAGACCUGGUGCAUUUAGAAUUUGCAAUGCAGGCAGGGCACGGUGCCAUUUCCCCUCCUCACUGGGAUUCAUUUGGAGAGUUGUUUCCCACAGAACUGUCAGCCUGACACGUUGCGUGGCACCUACUUGCCCGUUUGUUUGUAUAGGAAAGGAGGUAGGAGGCAUAUGAAUCAGUGCCAUGGCCUGCCAAGAACA